ensembl:lncRNA
AUGGAGGCGUGCAUGUGGAAGCCGCGAGCCUGGAGAAUGGCUGUGCCAUUGGGUCUCCUGCUCUUGGCUUUGUACUCUUCAGCAGGCAGCCGCCAGGCCCGAAGGCCGGCUCCUUCCUGGAUGAGCAGGCGAGGAUGGCAGCGUUGUCUUUGGAGCCAGGGGACCAGUGGUGGAAGCCGAAGGCCAGGCCAGGCUGCGUGGGGCCGAGACCCCUCCUCUGGCGGUGGUGGCAGGAGAGAUCCCAAGGUGAGGCAUGGCCUCGGGCUGUCUUGGUUUGGGUCAUCGGGGCCAGUGUUUUCCAUGUCUUUAAAAUGUCCUAUGUAGAAUCCCCAGGUGACUAAUCGUCCCUUGAGAACUAAGGCAUGAACCUUUAUGCUGGUUAAUUGACAAUAGGGAUUUCACCAAAGGAAGAUACAAUCUCUUUUGGUACUACUUAGAUCAUCAGGGAUAUUCAAGUGUCUUGUACUCUGAUUUUCGUUAAUCAAGUACUUCUUGUUAUGAAGGAAACAUUAAAUUGAUCCCAAAACAUGAACAUGGGAAGUGACAUUGGCCUAAUGUACCCGUGAUGAUUAGAACAUGGGUCAGGUGCCAGUGGUGAGUCAUGAAUGACGCAUGAUAAGGGUCUGAAGCCCUGUGGCCCCACACAGUCCAUCCUCUUUGGCUCUGUUUAGGCCAUCCUGUGGACAGGUGUUAGGAACACAGAAAGUUCGGGUUCUUACAGCGUAUACGUUUUCAAAGUAUUCAUACAGCAAGGAGAACACCAUGAAAGUUAUAGGUAAUAGUUGAAGAGCAUAUGUUGUUGUCUAAUUAUGAGCAAAUAUGUUGAAGAAAGAAAUAUUAAUCAAAAUUGCCAACAGCAGCGCUCCUUAUGAGAUAAGUCAGUCAAACGGUCACCUUUGUGGCCAAUUAUCAGAGAGACUUGAAGAGUUGUAAGUGUUAGAAAUUUCCUGUAUUGUUGUGAGUCAGUUUCAAGUUUGAGGUAGUUCUUUCAGUCAAGAGACAAAACAGUCUCUAAAGCAUGGCUAUGCUUUACAUUGUUAAGUAACAGGGCAGAUGAAAUGUAGAGGCAAGACGCGACGGUGAUCCCUUUUCUUUUCUUUCUCUUUUUCAUCAUUGGCUGUGCUUUGUGCUGUCAAACGUGCUCACGCUGGAGCGGAUUGAGCGUGAUCCCACGGUGACGUCACACGUCUUCUUGGGUGUUGAGAAUGAUUGAGUGUCUGAAUGACUGUGUGGGAAUUGCUGAAUCCGUCAAUGAAGUAAUACACGUGAAGGAGGCACAGAGACCCCGUCACGGACCAGUGAUGAGGCGCGUGACGGGAAGAGUCCUGAAGGAAGAAAGCAUCUCUGAAACUCUGAGGUCUGUCCCAGCACCUAAGGAGUCUCCUCUCUUGGGGGAAAUUGUGUCUGUAGAGAGAUGCCAGGGGUAUACAAAGGUCAUGUGUUCUCGUAUUUAUUUCUUUGUCGUGGGUUUGUUAGGAAUGGCUGCGUGCCAGAAUCAUUAAGCAAAUAUUAGUAAGUGUAUACGGAAAAAAUAUGUUCGUGCAUUGUAGAAGUAGCAAUUGUCUUGGGAGUUAAUAGAUACUGUGCAUAAACAUUGAAAACCUUGAUUCUGUGAAAUAAAUUGGAACGGGUCACCUCUUUGUUCA